ensembl:lncRNA
GGGGGGGGAAGCCUUUUGUUUUUCAUUUUAAAGGCAGAAGAAAGUUGUAAAAUUUGUUAAUUUUAAUGUUUUCGUUUAACCAUUUUACAUUUAUUCAUAUAUCUCGAUUUUACAUUUAAAUUUAGUCAUUUUGCAGAUGCUUUUAUCCAAAGCGACCUACAACUGGGGAAUACUUAAACGACUCUUUUUAAAGAGGCAAACAGACACAGGAAGUGCUUGAAAUACCAAGUGUCAGGCAUUGUUCAAAUAAGUACAAGCUAGAAAGGAAAGGAAUAAAGGAAUAAGGGAAGGAAUUUUAUUUAUUUUGUAUUUAUUCUAGUGUACACCCUGGCUGUAUUCAUUUAAAUCUUUAAGAAAAAAUAAAAUAAAAAAGGGAAAUUGGAUGCAAUUUAAAUGAUUAACAAAGAAAGAAAAAGUGUAAAUUGCAGCAUGUCAUGAAAACAUGUUGCCAUUAGUGGGCGUCCAUGCACAGUCCAUGAUAUCACACAAGAAGUAGUGCAGCUUUUCUGUGUCUGAAUGCAAGUUAAGUUUCUCUGCAUACUUUCCAUUGGCUCAGCACUCUUCAUUACACAUUGUUGCUUUAGGUGCAGAAAAAAAACACAAUUAUUUGCUUUUUGCAUAUGAAGCGCCAUACUUUCAAAAUGUUUUAAUUUUAAAUGUUUUUUAUUUUUUUUAUUUAUUGUUUUGCUGAGUAAGGGUUGAACCCGAUCACUGUUUGAUCUCUUGCUCAUGUACAUAUGUGCCCUCUCACGUUCCCCCCUCCUUCCUCCCCUGUGAACUAUGUACACCACCCCUCCCUCUUGACAACUCUAACUCUCCAUUCUCUCUUUUUCUCUUGCACAUGCAACCACAGGAGCGCACGGAUCACACCAACGCCACAGAACCAUGUCGGACUCAGAGACUGCAGCUCCUGCCGAGACCCCUGUCCCAGCACCCUGUGUGGCCAUCAAGGCAGAUCUAGACAAAUGUGUAAAGGCGAAUGGUGAGGAAGCGUGUAAGGAGCUAAUGGAGGCGUUUGCUGCCUGUGUGAAGAGCAAUGCUGAGGCGUCAUGAGGAGCUCAACAUGCAGGAAAA